GCCUGCGUCUGUGAGGGGAAGGGCCUCCUGAGUGCAAGAGCUCCAGGCAAGAACGGACAUUUUGUGGUAUAAAGUGAGACCAGUGUUUGUAGUCCUUGACGUUGCAAUUAAUCCAAAAAGCUUGCGGGCAUAACUGGUUCCAGCUCCUGUUUGCUCUCUAACCAGCUUCUGUGAGCUAUGGAUAUUUCAGGACAGCAGAACAACUAAGAGGAGAAUACUUUCAGUGCAGCUGCAUACGACAGAGCAUAGAAAACGUGUCCUUGCCACCACAACUUUGUCAUACCAAUGCACCCUGACAAGAAGAAUGCUGUGUGUUCCUGAAGUUGGGCUGGCAGAGCUUCACUGAAGGAGAAACCGAGCGCUGACAGGCUGCAGAACAAGCAGAAGCCAUCAGGUGGCAGAGGAGACUAAACCAUGCAACAGCACA